UAGCACCUUAGCACCAACAGCAGGUUCACACAGGGUCUUCUUGAUUGGGGGUGGGGGGUUGCUCUGUUUCUGUUUCUGUUUUGUUUUUGUUGACCUCAGCUGUGGAGGUCAGACUCCAGAUUCUGCAGCCUUUGAAUGAGGGCUUGGAACAGGGAGUGUACAGGGGGCUCCCUCUGCUCACAUCCUGAAGUGGGAGGAUAAUUGGUUCCUGUUGUUAAGAGGCUUCCAGCUUCUUGAACUGAGUGGCUACUGGUUUCCCCUGCCCUCCAGCCUACAGUCAGUCGUCGUGGAGCUACCCAUCCUCUGAUCCUCCUCAUGAUCAGAAGAAAUAGCAUCCAGUUGGGAAUCAGGUUUGUGUCUCGCGGUGUAUGCAUGUAUUGGUUCUGGGCCCUUGGUUUGACUUUAUCCUGAUUCUGGAAAAUGAGCCACCACUUUGUCCUUGUCUCUGAAAUAACAUCCAGAGGGUCAAUAGUUUAAUUGUCUUGGAAGAAUCUCCCAUUCUAUGAAAUAUCUAACAGAAACAGUCAAAUCUCCUCAAAAAGAAGAUGUAUUUUACAGGCUGCAAAAUGGAGAGUAUCUACAUAAAUUUAUUAAGGUCCAAAAAAAUCUAGGAAUGUUUCCAAAUACUAGCAAUAUGUGCCGGGCGAGGUUAUUCAUGUAUUUUCUUUCCUGGAAACAUUCUAACAAUAAAAAAUAAUGAAUAACUGUGAA